AAGAAGGAGAAAGAGAAAGGAGAAAGGAGAAGGAGAAAGAAAGAAGGAGAAGGAGAACUAAAACCCCCCAAACCCUCUCAGAGCCACAAUGGGCAAGUGGGUUGGAUUUAACAGCAUAAAAGAUUAUGCAAAUGCUUUAAAAUGCUGAAAUUGCAAAUCCUCACCACCAGGAGGAGGAGGGAGAGUCCCACCACCACCCCACACGCUGCCCCGGCGAUCAUGCCGAUAUUUUGGGCAUCUGUUGUCCGGAAAACAGACGGAUUAGUUGAUAAAUUCUCACUGGAGUUGCGCGGUCAGGUUCUAGUCGCCACUACAACUUACAUAAAUCAGAACAGAACGUGCCAGUUUGUUUAUUUAGGUGUGUCUCCACACAGAAGUUGAACCAGUUUAUCUCCAGGCACUGUCGCUGAAGCUGAGCUGAGGGUGAGAAAAGCUCUGGAAGGGUGGGAUCACAAGGGCUGUGCCUUCAGCUGUGGGUCAGAGCGAAACGAGGAGGAAAAAUCCUCCCCUCUGAGCACAGAGCCACCGAAAGCACAGACAUGUGAAACACGGCACCGAGCAGGUUCCUGGAGGCACGAGAGUGUUUGAACUGCGAAUAUUUCCCCGUGAGGAUUUUUUUUCCCCCCUUCGACUUACCCUGAAGUGAUUACAACCCCUUUUCCAGAAGGAAUUAUUUAAUCGUGGGGGAAAAAGUGACCCGAGCUGGGUCAGAGAGAGGAAGAAAGAGGUAGAAAGAAAAGAGCAUCCUGUGCGUGGCAUUUUUCCUCCAAAACAGAAAAGAUGAGACAUUUCCCAGCGAUUACGGGCCCUUGGUUGAUACUUUAUGACAACUUCUGGUCGGUUGGGCUGGGCUUGGCUAAAAGUUGUUUCCUUAAGGCUCGUCCCUACGGAGGGUUUAGCAAACCCGAUGAGGUUUUAAACCAAUUCAGUUCAAUUGGCAUAAAAGCUGCCCGGACGCUUUUACUUCAGAUGCCUGAGGCAAACCGGUUUUCCUUGCUGCGUGACCAUAUUCCAGUUAUUUCAGGCUUGGCCGGGCAGAAAAAGUUCCAAAAGCUGCGGAAUCUCCAAGAAGAGACCUCGCCUUUAGCAGUCUUUUAUCACAGCAGUUCCAGCUCCUGCUGAUCUCCUCUGAGAGCUGCUAAACUCUACUGUUUGGAUUUUUAGAUGCUAAACUCCACCCUUUUCCUGCCAUGAAUAUGCAAAGGACGCUCCACCCUUGAUGGGUUUUAUCAGGCAGAACACAGAUUUUAACUUCUGGUGCUCUGGACAGAAUUUAUUAAAUUUGGAUUAAAACCAAAACGUCAGCAGUUGCUCCACGUUACUGCGUGUCAGAAUCAGCCCUUCCAGCUGUCUUUAGAUAGUUCAGUGUCCCGAGUGCAACAGAUAAAUAAUUUGGAAUUGAAUUGAUGGAACAUCCACAGAGAGAGUUUCUACCUGAGAACAAUAUGCAGCCACUCCAGCCAGAAGUACCUCAAAAGCUGCAGGCUCUGGAACCUUUAACUCACAGUUUUCCCUCCUUUUAUGCCAUUAGUCAUUCUGAAAAUCAACAUUUCUAACAGACCGAAAAAUCUGAGCCCAAAUGAUGUUUUAGUCACUUUAGCUUGUGAUGUUUUCUGUCACUUUAGGUUGUGAUGUUUUUGCCACUGUAGGUUAUACAGAGGGCUGCUGUGCAAACCCUAACUGCAAUAAAUAAGUAUAAAUAA